UACAGAGGUGGCAAACGUUGUUCGGAAUUACUGGGCGUAAAGGGCGCGUAGGCGGCCCUCUAAGUCAGACGUGAAAUCCCUCGGCUCAACCGGGGAACUGCGUCUGAGACUGGAAGGCUUGAAUUCGGGAGAGGGAUGUGGAAUUCCAGGUGUAGCGGUGAAAUGCGUAGAUAUCUGGAGGAACACCGGUGGCGAAGGCGGCAUCCUGGACCGAUAUUGACGCUGAUGCGCGAAAGCCAGGGGAGCAAACGGG
rnacentral:rRNA from 1 species